GUUUUCAUAGUUAAUUAUAACGGUAGUUUUCAGACUACAGGUUUAGGUUAAAGUCUUAGUGGGAAUA
rnacentral:tRNA from 1 species